CGGGGAGUAGCGCAGCCCGGUAGCGCACUUGACUGGGGGUCAAGUGGUCGCGGGUUCAAAUCCCGCCUCCCCGACCA
rnacentral:tRNA from 7 species